rnacentral:rRNA from 1 species
AGUGAACGCUGGCGGUAGGCCUAACACAUGCAAGUCGAACGGCAGCACAGUAAGAGCUUGCUCUUACGGGUGGCGAGUGGCGGACGGGUGAGGAAUACAUCGGAAUCUACUUUUUCGUGGGGGAUAACGUAGGGAAACUUACGCUAAUACCGCAUACGACCUACGGGUGAAAGCAGGGGAUCUUCGGACCUUGCGCGAUUGAAUGAGCCGAUGUCGGAUUAGCUAGUUGGCGGGGUAAAGGCCCACCAGGGCGACGAUCCGUAGCUGGUCUGAGAGGAUGAUCAGCCACACUGGAACUGAGACACGGUCCAGACUCCUACGGGAGGCAGCAGUGGGGAAUAUUGGACAAUGGGCGCAAGCCUGAUCCAGCCAUACCACGUGGGUGAAGAAGGCCUUCGGGUUGUAAAGCCCUUUUGUUGGGAAAGAAAAGCAGCAGGUUAAUACCCCGCUGUUCUGACGGUACCCAAAGAAUAAGCACCGGCUAACUUCGUG